rnacentral:rRNA from 1 species
GACGAACGCUGGCGGCGUGCUUAACACAUGCAAGUCGAACGGAGUGGCGAACGGGUGAGUAACACGUGGGUGACCUGCCCUGCACUUCGGGAUAAGCCUGGGAAACUGGGUCUAAUACCGGAUAGUGUGGGAUGGGCGCGCGGCCUAUCAGCUUGUUGGUGGGGUAAUGGCGUACCAAGGCGGCGACGGGUGGCCGGCCUGAGAGGGUGACCGGCCACAGAGGGACUGAGGCACGAGCCAGACUACAACGGGAGACAGCGGUGAGGGAUAUAGCACAAUAGGCGGAAGCAGGAAGCAGCGACGCCGCGUGGGGGAUGACGGCCAUCAGGUUGUAAACUCCUUUCACCAUAGACGCGGUAGAUGGAGAAGAAGCACCGGCUAACUACGUGCCAGCAGCCGCGGUAAUUC